CCUAGGAUGGACAACCGGCUGAUAGCCUUUGUCUUAAAUUAUCCCUCCUGAACCCAAACUGCCCCACUGAGAAGACCGAUCAGCUUCCCACAGGCUGCUGAAGAGCUGCUCCACAAGUGAACACCACCCACGUCGAGCAAAAUACAUGCUGGAAGAAAAACAAAGCAAGACUUUUUUUACAGCUGACAUAAUGACUAGCCAGAUCACAGUUGGCCGAGGGUGGAAACGAUCAAGGCAAACUGAGAGCUGUUUGGCACCUUAAGGCUGCAGGAGGAUAAACACAUGGAGCUGUUGGGACAGUUUUUCCCUUUUUGCUACGAGGUCUGGAUUGAGGUUCAGAUCAAGAAGUGCUGAAGUACUGCCUCUGCCUCACCAGGUUUACAGGCCCAAGGUACCAUAAAAUGAGAGAUACCUGGAGCAAACUGCUUCUCUUGGACUUCAGCCCAUGAACCCACCUACGAUCUGAUUCAAGUGCAAUCAUAAAGGCUAAUGAUGCUCCACUGUCUUGAAUUAUAUCUACAUUGCGCAGUGUAGCGGAGACCUAUCAAACUAAACCACGGGGAAAAGAGAACCAAGGGAGCUGCAGUCACCAGUGCCAUAUGGGGUUGCUGAAGAAGUCAGGACUGAGAGAGCAAAGGCGGUCUGACCUGGACAAGAAGGCGAAGAAAGAGCUGACUCAGAGGGAGCUUCACAGGACUUGGAGUGGGGCUGGACCCACCUGGGAAGAAAAGGCAGAUUUUGAAAUGGGAGUCAACUCCAGCCCAGUUUCGAAGGGUGAAAUCUGUCCAACUAUAUUUGCUUCAAGGAGCUGCAGUUCAAUUUCAUUUGGGAUGUUUCAUGGGAAGGCAAUGGAUAAAUGAUGAAUAGAUCAGGAGAGCAAUGCAAACUGACCUAGGCUGGAGGAAAGAGGAACUGGAAGAAAGAUGUUUCCUAUUUUCUUGGAAGAAAACCUGAGAAGACCACAUGCAUGUCCAUGUAGAGCACUGUGGACAUCAUUGAUCACCCUGUAGAUGGGUCAAGGCCUCCUCACCAUGUGAAGUCCAUGCGCUGCUUUACUUUCCAAAUCUGGAUCCAGAGAUGCCAAACCAAACCAUUCACUGCACACCUUGCCUUGCUGUAAUUUACAUUUGGCAUCAGGAUGCAGAUGUACCAACUCUUCCCAACUUUUGAAAUGAAUGAUGAUGAUGGACUUCAUACAAAAAAGCAUCUAUCUUUUAAACUCCCACAGCUCCCCUGAGCCUACAGAACUGUUAAAAGUAAAUUUAAGGCCUUUAUCUUACCAUCAAUUCACGAAGACUGGCAGCGGUGUUUACGUGGAGUCCACAAUGUGCCACCAGGAUAUUCUCAAAAGAAAUGAGGAGACCACAGGAAAUGCUUUUAAGCUGAUAUGCCGGAGGCUUAGAGCCGCAAUAGUUUUCUGAUAUGGGCUAAAGUCGCUUCAGAGUGCUUCGAUGGUGUAGAAGUGCUACUUCUGAGAUGACUUAAUCCAAACUUUUCUACAUUGCCUACAUUCUGCCUGGUAAAAGGUAUCAUAAAGACAGAACAAAGCAAGAGAACAGCCUCCACUGGAGAUACGUACGUAACAUCAGGGAUGAAGCACAGGUAGAACAAAACCCACUGUGCAGCAUUAAAAUUAAAUGGACCACAGCCUUAAUGGAGUGAGUCAUAUCCACAGUCCCUAAACUGCAGCCAGGGAGAUGGGUUGGUCAGUGAGCAGCUACGGUCUUUCUGCACUCAUUAUUAUUUGAGCUCAGUCAUAGCUGAAGAUCGUUGCUGUCUGCACUGUGCAAACCUGAGAAAAAACAGAUUCCACCUCAUGGAGGUGAGAGGAGUCAAUUUCCUGCAUACAUUUGUGCAGACCAUUUCCAGCAAAUGUUGUUUAAGAUAUCCCUUUUUAUUCUGCAUUACAAGAUGCUGGAAUCACGGCAGCUUUCAAUUUCUGCAGUUCAGCUAAGAGUAGAAAUAAAUCCGCAGCUCGUCUGGCAUUUGUUGCUUCAUGUGAUACUACAAACUACUGAGAAAAAUCAGCAUUUCAUCUCCAAGUAUUUCCUUAACCAAUAUACAUGUCUGUUAAAAAUAUCUCCUAAGAGAAAAAUACACCAGUGUAUCUACACUUUGCUUCUCUGAAGAAAGCUCUGCAUAUUUAGGGAGCAUAGCUUUGCUAUCAGAGACACUGUCAAGUUAACUACAGAUACAUAAUUCUGAAAUGUUCUGCUCGUUUAAAAAUGUCUGAAUGUUCAUAUAUCAUUAGUAAGAAUACUGCAGUUAAUUAGUUACAUAGUUAGUUCAAAAAUGUUGUUGAAGCUUCAGUGCCAGCUAAAAGAAUGUUUUCAGGCUCUUUUCUCAGCUUUGUGAGUUUCUGUGCAACUCUAAGCCUCAGUAAGUUUUUGGGUAUGCAGUGUUAAUCUGAAGUAAUGUGAGUUAUGCCGACUCCCUCUUGAGCUACUGACCCAAGGCUGGAAGGCACCUCCGGAGUUAUUCAUUCCAACCUCCUGCCCGAGGUGGGUUCAAUGCCAAGUGCAGGUCAGGUUGCUCAGGGCUUUGGGCUGAGUAUGCAGAGUCCACAGACUUUCUGGUUCCUUGCUUCAGUGCUUAAUCCUAAUGAAGAGCUUUUUUUUUCCUCAUGUCCUUGUGAUUAUUGUCCCUCACCCUUUAAUUGUGCUUCUACAGGAGAAGCAUGGCUGCCUUUUCUGUAAUCUCCUUUCAGGUAGCGAAAGAGAACAACCCAAUUCCUCACCAGCUUUCUCAACUCCAGUCUGAGCAUCCCUAGUGCUUUCAGCCUCUCUGUGUUCAGGAUGUGCUCCAAUCCAUGCUGAUGGACUUUGGCUGGGCUCUCCCCCAGGAUGUCAGCAAACCAAGUUAUAUCUUGUUGGUCCCAUCAGGCAUUAAUCUCCAGCAGAUACCACCCGCAAGGUAAAAAGAUGUCAUCAGAGCUAAGAAUGCUUUAAAACUACAAUGGAGGAAAAAUGGGUAGAAAAUACUUCUGAAAAGACGUCUCCCACUGAUAAAAAGCAGUGCGCACAAGAUCUACGGGCAGUUAUCCUAGCUGAAAAUCAGAGCCAAGCUGCGGAAUGAAGACAGGAAAGCCCACUUCACAGAGGACAGGGAUGAAACCUCAUAAGUCAUCUGUCAGGGGGAGCUGAGCCCCAGCACGAUGUGAUGUGGAGGUGUGGUACGUGACAUCUGGGCACUCCCACUGCGCUGCUGGCUGCAGCCAUCUGAACGGAUGAAAUAAACCUCAGAGACAGCACAAUUAUGCACAUUUUAAGAUACAGAGAUUUAUAAAGCAUGAAGAAAAUUAUACUUUGAAGAUCUUUGCAGAGCUGUGAUUGUAAGAUCUACGGAGGGAUAUAUGCAGCUGAUGUGUCCCUAUGGCGUUUGACUGUUUUCAAGUCAUUGUUAUGAAGAACGUUUGCAGAAAAAACCUUGGCACUUGAUCUGAUUUCUCACAUUUCCCCCUCUGAACUCCACGCCCCUGAUGAAGAACCAGACAGGAACGGGACCGGCUGCUCUGUAUGGAGGAGCAAUGCAGUGCAUCAGCAUCGGGAACAAUAAACAUAAAUCUGUUCUUUCAGAGAAUUGAUUUAAAGUCUGGAUUAUUUCCCAUCCCGGGCAUGCAUCAUAUCCCCCAGCAGCAAACUGAAGGAUGUACCGUGACCCUAGUUACUACAGAAAUGUUCAUGGAUCAGAGACCCUGCAGUCAACCUUCUUGUUCUGACCAAUCAUUAACCAGGAGGAACAUUGUGGAGCUGCCGCUGCUUUUUCCUGAGUUACUUUAACAGACUGACCACAGGCAUGUUCCUUCGUCCUUAGAAGAGUUCCAGAAGAUUAGUCAGCUAAACCUGACAAGGCUUCUGGGAAGCUGGAAAGGACUUGGCUCAGCAUAUUAGGAACUAAGUGAUGAUGACAACCCUGUGGAUUUGUUCACUCCAUCCUAAAGAGGACUUCCCGUCAUAGUACUUUGUGCAUGGAUUUAGGAAAAUUUGAAUGAUUCAAGUAGAGAUCCAUGCGUCUCUCUGGCAUGUACUCCCCGAGGGAGCUGCAAUCAAAACUCCAGGGAUGGAAAGCCAGAGACAGAACCACAUGGAUGAAGCUCUGCAUUGCUCGAGAAUACCUCCUUCAGACACAUCAUCUUCUUCCCCUGCACUUGUCUUUCACGUACUUGAUUCUGGCAGUGGCAUUAUGAAGAACUACAGGACUGAAGCAGUAAUGACACUGCAUUCCCUGCAGAACAAAGAGCUGCUUCUGCCACGCUGUGCGUUGUGUUCCAUGACAGGCUUAUCCAGCAGAACCAGGGAAUAACCUAACCGGACCGAGACUGCAAAGAAACGCAGUCCUGAAAUGAGCAAGAACUGGAUUUAACACCCAAGUUUUCCUAGUGAGAAAAGUACCUCCAAAAAUUAAACCAAACCAAAGGUGACCUGUGUGUCUUGUGCAAGGAGGAUCAGCUCUGCUCCAGAAGCCACGGCUGUUUCACUGACUGUGACAUAGCGAAAACUAAACGGCUGGCAUAUCAGCCCACCAACAGACAGAUCACAUGCCUUCCACCAAUGAAGUGAGCUAUCUGAUGCUAGCCUUGCUGAAGCUUCAAGUCCCUGCUGCUCUCCCUUUCUUCAGAGAGAACUCCUGCCGGGUUGGUGAUGUUUGCUCACUCAUUGAAAUCACAGAGCUGGUCCACAGCUGCACAAGUUUCACUGCUGGGAGGCUGCCUUCUGCUAGUCGAGUACCAUGGGAAGGAUCAAGUGGAGGAGAGCUGCACUAAUCAGAAGACACGCUGUCUGGGAAGCAAGCCCAUUUUGUUCUUCCAGAAUCCCUCCCACUGCAAGCACCAGACCUCAAAAUGACCCAGAGAAAGCCUCUCCAAUCCAAGUAAUUUAAAUGCAAUGAAUGUGAUUUGGCUUCUAGUUAGUUCCCUUGGAAGUAAUGAAAGAGGUAAUUAAAGACUGGACAACUACCUUAAGUAAAACAUUACACCUUAGAGCAAAAACAUUUCAGAAAAAACUGUUUGGAGGCUGUGAAAGCCAACUCCAUGCCUGCCUGAGUGGGGAACACAGCAUCUUUCUGUAGGUCCCACCACACUUCCACACACAAGCUGUGAAAAGAUCAGAUAAGUGGUAAGAUUUUCCUACACUGUCCUUUCCACCAACAUUACUUCUGACUGCAAGCUGCAGUUUUUCCUCAUCCAGUCCUCCUAUGCUGUCCUGAAACACUUGCCCUGAACUUCUAGCAGAAGAGUCAGGGAAAAGAAAAUGCUGAAACUACGUUUUACAGAUUAUGACUUGCAUCUGGAGAAAGUGGAUCACCCUGGUUAAAGGUCUGACACAGAGUGAAAAAGAGUCACCCAGGAGCACCUUCGACAAGUGAAUUUGAUUAGCGCCUUGCUUUUGAGGAAGCACAAGUAUUACCAGCCCCAAAAAAUACAUCCUAACAAUUUAGUGGAUGGUGCUUCUGUGAUAACAACAGAACAGGUAGUAAAUUUCUUCUCCAAAUUAAAGUGGAACAACAUCUGCUAUUCAGUCAACAAACAGUGCCUUCUAUAAGAUCCUAAAAGCAAUUUCUCAAAAAAAAAAAAAAAAGUAAAAUAUCCCAAACCACUUUAAGUAUAUUUACCAAGGUGAAGAUAAAAAGCAGCAUAACUCUAUCUGUGCACACAUCAGAGCAACAACCCAACCACCACAUAAUUUUAUUAAAGCACAUAAUGAGUGCUCAACUAAACUCUCUAUAGUAAUUCUGAGUAUAUCUUUGCUCACUCAACAUUUGUCCAUAAACAAUGGGUGCCUAUGAUCAGUUGAAGUGAGCAGUACCAGGACUAAUUCAUUUACAGCAUUCAGCUUCAACCCUUGCAGUUAAUUCUACACUACAGACUGCUUUACCAGCCCAUAGCACAUCUUAACUAGAACAGGGACUUUGAAAUGCAGUUUUGCUCUACCACCAGCAAUUAUUUCUGUCCUUAUGGUAUGCUUUAUCAGCUGCAUAUGAAGCAUAAGGAACUCAUGGAAUCUCAGAAAAAGCAAACAUCACAGUAGAUCUUUGUAAGCAAGCUUAAUGCUAUGACGCAAUGGAAAAUACAGCAAUAAUAGCAGGAUGACACAACUCUAGGCUGCAGCAAAUGAGAACAAGCUCAAAAAACAACAGCUAUAAAUGCAGAAACAAAAGAAGAAAAACUGCUUACCUGUAGAAGACCUUCAGUAGACAGGAACCUCCCACAGAAGAUACCUUUACCUCCGCUGCCAACCCUUAAAUGAGGUCUGGGAGGGGAAUGGAUCCUGGCUCCACCCCUUCUCGUCACUCAGGAGCAUUGCAUGCACCUGAGCUCCCCUGGAUUGGCCCUGCCUUCCCACCAGGUGCUCAAUCACCGUUUCAGGUCAUGACAUUUCCACUACAUCAGGUAUGAGUGUUUUGGAGAACUAUCGUUUGAAGAAUGCAGCUGCUUUUCACUGGUUGGUAUCUACAUGUGUAUGGAGUUCUGUGCAGUGGUUGAAUGUGCAGCGCUUCGAGACCUUUCGGUACGCGGGGAGAUUAAGGAACCACAGAGCUUGAGAGAGAGGAGUUUGCAUCCCUUGUGAGAAUUCUGAUAUCCCUGUGUUCAUAUAUGUUGAUAUUCUCUUCUGAAUGGUGACCUGUUUACGUUGGAUGGAGCCUAAAGACCCAAAGACCCUGGAUAUCCUUGGACUGAGUUGCUUAAGGACACGUUGCUUUCCAAAGACCCUGAAGAAUGGUGUGCUACCAAGGAUUUUUCAGUCCCAGCUGGCAGCGGAGGGGCGGUCUGACAAAAUGGCACCUGACAUGGAACUGUGGAUGAGGAAAAGGUUUCUGCUGUGAACCACAUUUGCUCUUGAUCUGAGGGGAUACAGGUGCUACUACAGUCAUCUUCUCAUCUCCUCCUCCACACAGCUUUCCUCCCUGGAAGUUGGAACACAAUCAGCGGAGUUAAUAUGGGUGAAAAUAAACGGAAAACUGUGUUUUUUUUUCCCGGGAUUUGCAGAUGCUGUGACAGGCUGCCUUGGUUAGGAAACAUCAGAAGUGUAAUCAUAUUAAUAGAAUCAUUUUCUUAUGCAUGUGGAAAUGGAGAUGAUGUGUCAUUUACAAGUGAAUGAAGACUCAACACUGGCAACUGCUGGACUGCAUAAUAUGGUCAUAAAAUGCUUCAGUUAUAAUAAGUCUAAGAAAUUAUUGCACAGCUGUAACACAACUGUGGAGAUUAGUAGAGAGUUUCAAUAGAUUUUUAGGUUCUCUCUUUUUAAAAAUACCUUUCAUCCUCAAUGCAGCCUGAUUGCAUAUGGUAUCUGGCAUGAAGGCAAGAAGCAACUACAGCAAAGUCUUGCAGAGAAAACGCUAGCAUUUUUGGAUGUGCUGACAGUGUAUUUCCAGGAGGUGAAGAAAUUCCAGAAGGCAAAUGAUGGGAUGAAAGACAGGAUCAUGGUAUAGACUUUACUCAGAGAUGGAAAUCUGAAGAAAUC
ensembl:lncRNA